rnacentral:rRNA from 1 species
CGCCCGAUGAUAAAUUAUUGAAGGGCUGCAGUAAUUUGACUGUACAAAGGUAGCAUAAUCAUUAGUCAUUUAAUUGGUGACUUGUAUGAAAGAUUGAAUGAAAUAUAAACUGUCUUAAGAAUAUUUUAUAGAAAUUAAUUUUUUAAUUAAAAAGUUAAAAUAAAUAAAAAAGACGAGAAGACCCUAUAGAGUUUUAUUUUUUAUUAUAUUAUAAUUAUUUAUAAUUAAGAAAAAUUUAAAUUUAAUAAAAAAUUUUGUUGGGGUGAUAAAAAAAUUAAGUAAACUUUUUUUAAUUAGUUAACAUAAAUAAGUGAUUCAUUGAUCCAUUUUUAAUGAUUAUAAGAAAAAAUUACCUUAGGGAUAACAGCGUAAUUUUUUUUUUUAGUUCAUAUAAAAAAAAGAGUUUGCGACCUCGAUGUUGGAUUAAGAUAAAAUUUAAAUGCAGAAGUUUAAAAUUUUUGA